UGGAAAGUAAAAGUUACUUGGAUAACUGCGGUAAUUCUGGAGCUAAUACAUGCACAAAGCCUUGACCUUACGGGAUAGGCGCUUUUAUUAGAUCAAAACCAAACGGCUUCGGCUGUAUCCUGGGGAAUCCUAAUAACUUUGGGGUGAACCCCUUACCCUUGCCCUGGCAACUUUUCCUUCAAAGGGGGGCCCUAUCACUGGUCAAUGGGGGCUUAAACCCCCCCGUGGUUUUUAACGGGAAACGGGAAUUCAGGGUCCAAUUCCGAAAAGGAACCCUUAAAACCGGUUCCCCCUUCUAAGGAAGGAACCAGGCCCCCAAUUUCCCCAUGGACCAAAGGCCAAGGAAUGGCCAAAAAAUAACAAUGCCGAAUCCUUCCAAGGCCCCUUAUUUGAAAUAAUUCCCCUUUAAAACCUCCCCCAAGAACCUUUGGAAGGCCAAUCCGGU
rnacentral:rRNA from 1 species